CAGUAGCCGCGGGAACACGUAGGUGGCAAGCGUUGUCCGGAAUUAUUGGGCGUAAAGGGCUCGCAGGCGGUUUCUUAAGUCUGAUGUGAAAGCCCCCGGCUCAACCGGGGAGGGUCAUUGGAAACUGGGAAACUUGAGUGCAGAAGAGGAGAGUGGAAUUCCACGUGUAGCGGUGAAAUGCGUAGAGAUGUGGAGGAACACCAGUGGCGAAGGCGACUCUCUGGUCUGUAACUGACGCUGAGGAGCGAAAGCGUGGGGAGCGAACAGGAUUAGAUACCCGGGUAGUCCCUGUCUCUUAUAC
rnacentral:rRNA from 1 species